AUAUGGUGGUGUGGGCAACUUCCACAUAGCUUCUUGAAUCUUUUCCAAUAUUCAUACAAGCUUUCACCACCUAGCUGCCUGAUUCUAGAAAUAUCUUUCCUUAUGGU
rfam:Vigna angularis cultivar Jingnong 6 scaffold272_13, whole genome shotgun sequence.